rfam:Schistosoma curassoni strain Dakar, Senegal genome assembly, scaffold: SCTD_scaffold0010011
AUCCAGCUGACUAAUCCUAAAUCGGACGAAACGCGCGUCCUGUAU